rnacentral:rRNA from 1 species
CUUUCUUUGCUGGCGACCGGCGCACGGGUGAGUAACACGUAUCCAACCUGCCCUUUACUCGGGGAUAGCCUUUCGAAAGAAAGAUUAAUACCCGAUAGCAUAAUGAUUCCGCAUGGUUUCAUUAUUAAAGGAUUCCGGUAAAGGAUGGGGAUGCGUUCCAUUAGGUUGUUGGUGAGGUAACGGCCCACCAAGCCUUCGAUGGAUAGGGGUUCUGAGAGGAAGGUCCCCCACAUUGGAACUGAGACACGGCCAA